rnacentral:rRNA from 1 species
AUUCCAGCUCCAAUAGCGUAUAUUAAAGUUGUUGCAGUUAAAAAGCUCGUAGUUGGACUUCUGGGCCGUUUUGUUGGUCUGCCGCAAGGCUGCACUAGCGGGAUGGCCCAUCCUCUCGAAGGCUGGGGGUGCUCUUAACUGGGUGCUUCCAGAACUCGGGAUCUUUACUUUGAAAAAAUUAGAGUGUUCAAAGCAGGCUUACGCUUGAAUACAUUAGCAUGGAAUAAUGGAAUAGGACUUUGGUUCUAUUUUGUUGGUUUCUAGAACUGAAGUAAUGAUUAAUAGGGAUAGUUGGGGGCAUUAGUAUUUAAUUGUCAGAGGUGAAAUUCUUGGAUUUAUGAAAGACUAACUUCUGCGAAAGCAUUUGCCAAGGAUGUUUUCAUCA